rnacentral:rRNA from 1 species
AGAGUUUGAUCUGGCUCAGAACGAACGCUGGCGGCAGGCUUAACACAUGCAAGUCGAACGCUCGUAGCAAUACGGGAGUGGCAGACGGGUGAGUAACGCGUGGGAACAUACCCUCCGGUUCGGAAUAGCUCAGGGAAACUUGGAUUAAUACCGGAUACGGCUGAGAGGCGAAAGAUUUAUCGCCGGAGGAUUGGCCCGCGUUCGAUUAGCUAGUUGGUGAGGUAACGGCUCACCAAGGCGAUGAUCGAUAGCUGGUCUGAGAGGAUGAUCAGCCACAUUGGGACUGAGACACGGCCCAAACUCCUACGGGAGGCAGCAGUGGGGAAUAUUGGACAAUGGGCGCAAGCCUGAUCCAGCCAUGCCGCGUGAGUGAUGAAGGCCUUAGGGUUGUAAAGCUCUUUCGCUCGGGACGAUAAUGACGGUACCGAGAUAAGAAGCCCCGGCUAACUUCGUGCCAGCAGCCGCGGUAAUACGAAGGGGGCUAGCGUUGUUCGGAAUUACUGGGCGUAAAGCGCGUGUAGGCGGGUCUUUAAGUCAGGGGUGAAAUGCCAAGGCUCAACCUUGGAACUGCCUUUGAUACUGGAGAUCUUGAGUCCGGGAGAGGUGAGUGGAAUUGCGAGUGUAGAGGUGAAAUUCGUAGAUAUUCGCAAGAACACCAGUGGCGAAGGCGGCUCACUGGCCCGGAACUGACGCUGAGACGCGAAAGCGUGGGGAGCAAACAGGAUUAGAUACCCUGGUAGUCCACGCUGUAAACGAUGGAUGCUAGCCGUUGGGGAGCUUGCUCUUCAGUGGCGCAGCUAACGCUUUAAGCAUCCCGCCUGGGGAGUACGGUCGCAAGAUUAAAACUCAAAGGAAUGACGA